rnacentral:tRNA from 1 species
GUAUCCUUAGCUCAAUGGGCGAGCCGCCUGCGGAAGAUGCGGGUUCGAUUCCUGCGGGAUACG